UACAGAGGGUGCGAGCGUUAAUCGGAAUUACUGGGCGUAAAGCGUGCGUAGACGGUCAAGUAAGUCGGGUGUGAAAGCCCCCGGCUCAACCGGGGAACGGGCGCCGAUACGACCGCCCUCGAGGGACGUAGGGGGACCUGGAACUUCCGGUGGAGCGGUGAAAUGCGUUGAGAUCGGAAGGAACGCCCGUGGCGAAAGCGAGGUCCUGGACGUCUGCUGACGCUGAGACGCGAAAGCCAGGGGAGCGAACGGG
rnacentral:rRNA from 1 species